UUAGUUUCUCGGCCUUUUGGCUAAGAUUAAGUGUAGUAUCUGUUCUUAUCAGUUUUAUUAAUAAUUUUGUAAAGAGGGAGAAACGUUCACCGACUCCUGUUGAAGAACCCUCC
rnacentral:snRNA from 1 species